rnacentral:rRNA from 1 species
UACGUAGACCUCAAGCGUUAUCCGGAUUUAUUGGGCGUAAAGGGUGUGUAGGGGGUUUCAUAAGUCAGACGUUAAAUUUCGGAGCCUAACUUCGAAACCGCGCCUGAUACUGUGAGACUAGAGGGUGCAAGAGGUGCGCGGAACACAUGGUGUAGGGGUGACAUCCGUUGAUAUCAUGUGGAACACCAAAGGCGAAGGCAGCGCACUGGGGCAUUCCUGACCCUGAGACACGAAAGCGUGGGGAGCAAAAAGG